rnacentral:misc_RNA from 1 species
CGCUCACCAUCCGGCCGGGCUUUCCCGUCCGCGUCAUCGUCACGCGCGAUCUCGUGCUCGAACCCUACGGAGGCUGAUAUGGUGAAAUUGAAGCUUCGCUCGAUUACCGAUGCAAGGUCUCGUUCGAACUGCCGGCCACGGUUCACCGCGAUCUCGUGGCCUAUGCCCAAAUACUAGCCCGCGAGACAGGAAGAUCCGUGGGCGAUCAGGUGA